rnacentral:rRNA from 1 species
UACGUAGGAUGCAAGCGUUGUCCGGAAUUAUUGGGCGUAAAGAGCGCGCAGGCGGCCUAUCAAGUCAGAUGUGAAAUAACCAGGCUUAACCUGGUGGGGUCAUUUGAAACUGGCAGGCUAGAGUACAGCAGAGGAUAGCGGAAUUCCCGGUGUAGUGGUGAAAUGCGUAGAUAUCGGGAGGAACACCAGUGGCGAAGGCGGCUAUCUGGGCUGCAACUGACGCUGGAGGCGACGAAGGCUAGGGGAGCAAACAGG